AUUGAACGCUGGCGGCAGGCCUAACACAUGCAAGUCGAGCGGAUGAAGGGAGCUUGCUCCUGGAUUCAGCGGCGGACGGGUGAGUAAUGCCUCGGAAUCUGCCUGGUAGUGGGGUAUAACGUCCGGACACGGGCGCUAAUACCGCAUACGUCCUGAGGGAGAAAGUGUGGGAUCUUCGGACCUCACGCUAUCAGAUGAGCCUAGGUCGGAUUAUCUAGUUGGUGGGGUAAAGGCCUACCAAGGCGACGAUCCGUAACUGGUCUGAGAGGAUGAUCAGUCAACACGGAACUGAGACACGGUCCAGACUCCUACGGGAGGCAGCAGUGGGGAAUAUUGGACCAUGGGCGAAAGCCUGAUCCCGCCAUGACGCGUGUGUGAAGAAGGUCUUCGGAUUGUAAAGCACUUUAAGUUGGGAGGAAGGGCAGUAAGUUAAUACCUUGCUGUUUUGACGUUACCAACAGAAUAAGCAACGGCUAACUUCGUG
rnacentral:rRNA from 1 species